rnacentral:SRP_RNA from 1 species
GCCGGGCGUGGUGGCGCGCGCCUGUAGUCCCAGCUACUCGGGAGGCUGAGGUGGGAGGAUCGCUUGAGUCCAGGAGUUCUGGGCUGCAGUGCGCUAUGCCGAUCGGGUGUCCACACUAAGUUCGGCAUCAAUAUGGUGACCUCCCGGGAGCGGGGGACCACCAGGUUGCCUAAGGAGGGGUGAACCGGCCCAGGUCGGAAACGGAGCAGGUCAAUAAUAGAAAAGAGAUCUGCAAAAAUAAUAUAGACAAGAAGACAAAUCAAAUAUUGGUAUACAAUAGAUACCUACUAAAUAGAAUAACUACACCUCU